rnacentral:rRNA from 1 species
GGACCCGCACAAGCGGUGGAGCAUGUGGUUUAAUUCGAUGCAACGCGAAAAACCUUACCUAUACUUGACAUACUUGGAAUGCUUUGUAAUGAAGCAGUGCCUUAGGGAGCCAGGAUACAGGUGCUGCAUGGCUGUCGUCAGCUCGUGUCGUGAGAUGUUCCGUUAAGUCGGAUAACGAGCGCAACCCUUACCCUUAUUUGCCAGCGAUUCGGUCGGGAACUAUAAGGGGACUGCCGGUGAUAAACCGGAGGAAGGUGAGGACGACGUCAAGUCAUCAUGGCCCUUACGUAUAGGGCUACACACGUGCUACAAUGGAGAAUACAGACGGACGCUAAGCCGCGAGUGGUGCC